rnacentral:rRNA from 1 species
UACGUAGGGCGCAAGCGUUGUCCGGAAUUAUUGGGCGUAAAGAGCUCGUAGGCGGCUUGUCGCGUCGAUUGUGAAAGCCCGGGGCUUAACUCCGGGUCUGCAGUCGAUACGGGCAGGCUAGAGUCCAGUAGGGGAGCGUGGAAUUCCUGGUGUAGCGGUGAAAUGCGCAGAUAUCAGGAGGAACACCAGCGGCGAAGGCGGCGCUCUGGGCUGGAACUGACGCUGAGGAGCGAAAGCGUGGGGAGCGAACAGG